rnacentral:rRNA from 1 species
GACGAACGCUGGCGGCGUGCCUAAUACAUGCAAGUAGAACGCUGAAGGAGGAGCUUGCUUCUCUGGAUGAGUUGCGAACGGGUGAGUAACGCGUAGGUAACCUGCCUGGUAGCGGGGGAUAACUAUUGGAAACGAUAGCUAAUACCGCAUAAUAGCAGUUGUUGCAUGACAGCUGUUUGAAAGGUGCAAUUGCACCACUACCAGAUGGACCUGCGUUGUAUUAGCUAGUUGGUGGGGUAACGGCUCACCAAGGCGACGAUACAUAGCCGACCUGAGAGGGUGAUCGGCCACACUGGGACUGAGACACGGCCCAGACUCCUACGGGAGGCAGCAGUAGGGAAUCUUCGGCAAUGGACGGAAGUCUGACCGAGCAACGCCGCGUGAGUGAAGAAGGUUUUCGGAUCGUAAAGCUCUGUUGUAAGAGAAGAACGAGUGUGAGAGUGGAAAGUUCACACUGUGACGGUAUCUUACCAGAAAGGGACGGCUAACUACGUG